AUUGAACGCUGGCGGCAGGCCUUACACAUGCAAGUCGAACGAGUGGCGGACGGGUGAGAACUGACUGGGAACAGGACCGAUGGAGGGGGAUAACUACUCGAAACGAUUGCCACUACCGCCUACCAUCGGAUGUGCCCAGUUGGGAUUAGCUAGUAGGUGGGGUAAAGGCUCACCUAGGCGACGAUCCCUAGCUGGUCUGAGAGGAUGACCAGCCACACUGGAACUGAGACACGGUCCAGACUCCUACGGGAGGCAGCAGUGGGGAAUAUUGCACAAUGGGGGCAAGCCUGAUGCAGCCAUGCCGCGUGUAUGAAGAAGGCCUUCGGGUUGUAAAGUACUUUCAGCGGGGAGGCGGUACCCGCAGAAGAAGCACCGGCUAACUCCGUGCCAGCAGCCGCGGUAAUAC
rnacentral:rRNA from 1 species